AGCUUUAUAGUUUAUAAAUAAAACAUUAAUCUUGUAAAUUAAAAAUAAAUUUUUCAUUUUAAAGCUU
rnacentral:tRNA from 1 species